rnacentral:rRNA from 1 species
GAUGAACGCUGGCGGCGUGCCUAAUACAUGCAAGUCGAGCGAACAGACGAGGAGCUUGCUCCUUUGACGUUAGCGGCGGACGGGUGAGUAACACGUGGAUAACCUACCUAUAAGACUGGGAUAACUUCGGGAAACCGGAGCUAAUACCGGAUAACAUGUUGAACCGCAUGGUUCAACAGUGAAAGACGGUUUUGCUGUCACUUAUAGAUGGAUCCGCGCCGCAUUAGCUAGUUGGUAAGGUAACGGCUUACCAAGGCAACGAUGCGUAGCCGACCUGAGAGGGUGAUCGGCCACACUGGAACUGAGACACGGUCCAGACUCCUACGGGAGGCAGCAGUAGGGAAUCUUCCGCAAUGGGCGAAAGCCUGACGGAGCAACGCCGCGUGAGUGAAGAAGGUCUUCGGAUCGUAAAACUCUGUUAUUAGGGAAAAACAAAUGUGUAAGUAACUAUGCACGUCUUGACGGUACCUAAUCAAAAAGCAACGGCUAACUACGUG